GUGCUCACUUUGGCAGCACGUAUACUAAAAUUGGAAUGAUACAGAGAAGAUCAGCAUAGCCCCUGUGCAAGAAUGAAAUGCAAAUUCAUGAAAUGGUACAUAUUUUU